UACUAUUCUUGGUGGUUGUCCCAUGGUA
rnacentral:piRNA from 1 species